rnacentral:lncRNA from 1 species
UCAUCUUUAUAUAUUUCUUAUUUUGUUGGUAAAAACAUCUUUAUAUAUUUAUCAUCACAAUCAUAUAUUAUCAAAUCAUUUCCAUGGGAAACAUUUAGCAUUUUUACCAAGCUUGCAUGGGCCAUCGGGUUUGAUAGUCCAGUUAAAUUUAUAACCGUCAUCUUGAUCUCUCGUAGCAUCAAAUAUAUCAAACCGCUUGACCUGAUUGUUCCAUUGGAAGCUGCAGAAGAACAGUGUUGUUCUCCAUAUAUUUGGCUGAAAUGAAAAGUGGUAAUCUGUUUUGGCAGCCACCAUAUGAACCCCCAAGUCAUUAUCUUUGGAUUUGCAAUGAACCGUAAGAACUGGACCUCCAAGAAACCGGAUUGACUCAGGAAACCGGAUUGACUCUCAAGACAAUAUCGAACAGCAUUGUAUCCAGUACUUCUCAAACCUGCUUGGCAGUGAGGUUGGGCCUCCUAUGUUUGAGCAAUCUGACAUCAACCUACUCUUCAAUUUUCGCUGCUCAAAUGAAGAUUCUCAGGGCUUCAUGAAAAAAUUCACGCCUCAGGAUGUGAAAGAUGCUUUCUUCUCUCUGCCUAAAAACAAGACGAGUGGACCUGAUGGCUAUUCUGCCGAAUUUUUCACUUCUUGCUGGCAGUUUAUUGGGCCUGAGAUCACAGAAGCUGUGCUUGAGUUCUUCUCCUCAGGUCAAAUACUAAAGCAAUGGAACUCAACAUCUCUAGUCCUCAUCCCAAAAAUCACAAAUGCCACUAGGACUACGGACUUCCGUCCCAUCUCUUGUCUCAACACUGUCUACAAGGUUAUUUCAAAGCUCUUGGCUAACAGACUGAAAAGCAUCCUCCCGAAGGUUAUCUCCAAUGCGCAAUCAGCUUUCUUACCUGGCAGACUAUUAGCUGAGAAUGUUCUACUUGCCACUGAUCUGGUUAAAGGGUACAAAGCGGCAAAUUCAGAACCAAAGGCUAUGCUAAAAGUUGAUCUCCGUAAGGCCUUCGAUUCAGUCCGCUGGGACUUCAUAAUUGCCACUCUAAAGGCUCUCUCAAUCCCUGAGCAGUUUAUUAAUUGGAUUGUUGAAUGCAUUUCGACUCCCUCCUUCUCUGUAUCUGUUAAUGGUGUCUCAGGCGGGUUUUUUCAUAGCACAAGAGGAGUUAGACAGGGUGAUCCCCUCUCGCCUUACCUCUUUGUGCUUGCCAUGGAGUCUCUCUCACGGCUACUCCAAUCCAGGUUUGACUCGGGCUGGAUCUCCUACCAUCCUAAAACAGCUGAGUUGAAUAUCUCUCAUCUUAUGUUUGCUGAUGAUGUGAUGAUUUUCUUUGAUGGCUCCACCAACUCACUUCAUGGAGUAUCAGAAUGUUUGGAUGAUUUCUCUUCUUGGUCAGGUUUGGUAGUGAAUACGGAGAAGACAGAAUUAUUCACCUCGGGUUUGAGUCCAACAGAUUCUAUGGCCAUCGCUCGAUUUGGAUUUCCUAGUGGUACUCUCCCAGUUAGAUACCUAGGACUUCCACUCUCUAGCAGGAAGCUUAAGAUAUCUGAAUACGCUCCACUAAUUGCCAAGAUUACUACAAAAUUCAGAAUGUGGGCAUCCAGAUCUCUUUCUUUCUCUGGCAGGCUAGUAUUGCUUUCUUCAGUAAUUGCAGGCCUAGUGAGCUUCUGGAUAUCAGCUUUUGUGCUUCCAAAAGGCUGCAUCCGGCAAAUAGAAUCGUUGUGCACCAGAUUCCUCUGGUCUGGUAACAUUGAUACUCCUAAAAUGGCGAAAGUAGCUUGGAGCACAGUCUGCCUCCCAAAGGAUGAAGGUGGGCUUGGGUUGAGAAGUUUCUUGGUGUGGAAUCAUGUUCUAUGCUUGCGUUUUAUUUGGCUUUUAUUCUCUGAAAGUGACUCGUUGUGGGUUGCGUGGCACCGCAAGUACCAUCUGCAGAACAAGAGCUUCUGGGUUAUUACGGAAUCUCAGAAUGACUCCUGGAUGUGGAAACGAUUACUAAAACUCAGACCAGUGGCAAAAUCUUUCUGUAAAGCAGAGCUGGGAGAUGGUAGGAAGAUUAGUUUCUGGUUUGAUGUAUGGACCCAAUGGGGUAGUCUUAUUGAUCACAUAGGAGAGCGUGGACCUGUCAAUACCCGAGUGCGUCUCCACGCAAAAGUAUGUGAUGCUGCAACGGAUUCUGGUUGGUGUUUAGGAGGAGCCAGGUCGCAGGAAGAGCUUAACCUGCAAAUUUAUCUUACAACCGUUCCUCUUCCAACUGAAACAAAUCAUGAGGACAAAUACGUAUGGGAAACGAACGGUACAUCCUCUUUAACUUUCUCAUCGGCUCUUACUUGGGAGGUGCUUAGGCCUCGCUCUCAAAAGAAAGAUUGGGCAGAUAAAAUCUGGUUUAAAGGCGCUGUUCCAAAAUUCUCUUUCACUAUGUGGAUUGCAACUCUUGACCGCCUUCCUACUAGAAUGAGGCUAGCAUCAUGGGGCCUUCAAAUGCCUACUUCUUGCUGCCUUUGCUCUGCCUCAGCUGAAACUAGGGACCACCUCCUGCUAUCUUGCCCCUUCUCCUUUGAGAUUUGGCGUCUCAUCUACCAGCGACUUUCCCCUGCGACGCAGCAGCACCUCACUUGGGCGGAGCUCCUUUCAUGGCUUCGAGGAUCGCCAAAGGACCCGCAGACUACUCUCCGCAGGCUCGCCGCUCAGACAACUAUAUUCCAUCUAUGGAGGCAGCGUAACAAUGUGCUUCAUAACCAGAUAUCUAUCUCUACGGAUGGGGUUUUCAGGUUCAUUGACCGAGAUAUUCGCAGCACCAUCACAGCUAGGAGAGCCAACAAGCUCUUCAGCUCUUUAAUGUCUCUUUGGUUGAGAUAGAUCACUCUAUCUUCUCCCGUUUGUAGCUCUGCUUUGUUUUUAACCUUUUUUUGCCAAAGUGGAGUUUCUCUUAGAUUUAAUUUGUAAAUCUGACUUUUUCAUUAAUAUGAAUAUUAACAGUUUAGCAAAAAAAAAAAAAACUGGACCUCCAAGGUUAUUUGUCAUUGUGAGGUCGGUUCGGGGCCAAAACGGUGGUAACCCAUGACUCAGACCAAACAAAAGAACCAUGAUAAGAAAAGCAAGACAAAGUUUUGGUGACUUUCUCAUUGAUGCAGGAUUUCUCAAUAAGAUUGCUAUACUGGAGUUGAACUUGAAGUAAUUUGGGAUGGCUCAACAUAUUCAGUCCAUAUAUAUAGCGCUUUGGUAGUAACUAAGCAAACAUUUUCUUAAGAGUAAUAAAUUAAUUAUUAAUGAAUUUUGACCCAAAGAAAACAUGAAUUGAACAAGUGAAUCAGUCAAAGAGUAAUAAAUUAAUUAUUAUUAGGUCCGUAUUGUAACAUGUGUUUGUGAAACUUGUCAUGCACAAAAACAAAGUGUUGACUACAUAAUAACAAAUUCUAUACUAUUAGAAGGAAAUCAUCCCAAAAAUUGACUAUACAAAAGUGUUGGAUCUAUACACCAAAACUCCAAAAUAGUCAUUUAGUGUUGAAUUAUGAUUUGAGUUCAAAUCUUAGUGAACGUGAUUUAUUAUAAUUUAAUAGAAAAAAAUUGCCAUAAUGAAAAUAAGACUAUUAGUCAUAGAGUUUUAUAAAACAGUUUAGCGUGAUGUACUUAGAAUCUAACAGCUGAAUUAUCGGUUGAAAACAUAAUAAUUUGUCAUACUGACAGCCCAUUUGCUAAUAUUUGAUUUGUUUUUUCUUAACACAGCUUUAGUUUGAUCAUCUUUUCCUUAUGCACAAUUGAAAGUAUCGACCAACAAACAGUAUUCAGGAGUAACAAAAGUAUAUAUCUUACUCAGAAGCAGCGAGGCUUACCAAAUGAGACACCAAAUCUUCAAGACAUGAAAACUGAUUCAGUAAACUCUUUUGAAAGCAUCUGAACUCAUCUCACUUAAACCUUCGUUGAUCCUCUUCAUUCCCUUCUGCAAUAACUCCACUCCUCUGCAUAUUCCUUCUGGAAGCUUCCUUCUCUUGUUCGAUUGUUUCUCUACUUCCAUUGAUCUCUGCUGCUUUCUUCCUUCUAGAAGCUUCUGCACUGUUGCCUUUCUGUUCUGGUCAUGCGCUUAGAUCCCAUCAGUUAUAUUAGUAAGUGACAAAAAGAAAGAAGAACAAUAUUUUAUAUUUAGAGCUGAAGUGAGUGAUCAUGGAUGAUGUGCAGGAAAUGAGAUCCCCAAGAACCCUGGAUGGAGGUUAGGAAGCUAGGCACUGUCAAGUGUCAACUACCUGGAAUCACUUAAACUUCAAGACAAGUUCGUUUCCGAGAGAAAAGCUAAUCGAAUCCCGGAUACACUCCUCUCUCUUCAGCAUCACCAUCUUACACCCUCGGAAAACGUAGAACCGAUCACAACCUACUGAUCCCUGAAGCUGAACUCAAAGGCAUUGGAGCUGAGCUUCACUAUACUCAAAGCGGAGGAGAUAUCACUUUCCAUGGCCCUCAUCAAGCCAUCUUAUACCCCGUCAUCUCCUUACGCAGCAUUGGUAUUGGUGCUAAGAACUAUGUAGAGACGUUGGAGAGGUCAAUGGUUUCGCUAUUUUGGUAAUAUUAGUCGAAGUUAAGGCCUUAGUACUCUUAUAUAUUGAAACUUUUUUUCUUAAAAUGAAUAUUCUUUUUCCCAACAGUUCUUAUCUCCUCUGAUUAUAUUAUACGUAAAAAGGGUUUUUUCAUCUAUAAUAUUUUUUCUUUUAAAUAUUGAAAUACAAAGUAAAUAAAAUAGUAAAUUCAAAUAUCUCAAAUUAUUAACUUCACAACAGACCAUUUUAAACUAAUACAAAGAAAAAUAAACACAAUGAAACAAAUGAAACUAGAUUAAUGAAGUCUUUGAAAAGAUGAUCAUCAUAAAAAGACUUUUAUUAGAUGUUUCAUUUGAUCAUCUUUAUACAUUUUUUAUUUUGUUGGUAAAAAACAUCUUUAUAUAUUUAUCAUCACAAUCAUAUAUUAUCAAAUCAUUUCCAUGGAAAACAUUUAAUUUGUUUACCAAUCUUGCAUGGGCUAUCAGGUUUGAUAGUCCAGUUAAAUUUAUAACCGUCAUCUUGAUCUCUCGGAGCAUCAAAUAUAUCAAACUGCUUGACCUGAUCGUUCCAUUGGAAGCUGCAGAAGAACAGUGUUGUUUUCCAUAUAUUUGGCUGAAAUGAAAAGUGGUAAUCUGUUUUGGAAGCCACCAUGUGAACCCCCAAAUCAUCAUCUUUGGAUUUGCAAUGAACCGUAAGAACUGGACCUCCAAUAUUAUUUGUCAUCGUGAGGUCGGUUCGGGGCCACAACGGUGGUAACUCAUGACUCGGACCAAACAAAAGAACCAUGAUCAGAAAAGCAACACAAAGUUUUGAUGAAUUUCUCAUUGAUACAGGAUUUCUCAAUAAGAUUUGCUAUAUUGGAGUUGAGUCUGUAGGAAUUGAGACUGGCUUAGCAUAUUCUUUCCAUAUAUAGUGCUUUUGUAGUAAUUAAA